GCUUGAAGUUGAGCUGGCCUUGACUCUCAGGGGAAUCUCUGCCACUCAAUGCCUCUCCCUACUGGUGCCAGGUGAAGCUCUAGUAGUAAUAAAACUUGACUCUGACAUACCUUUUUCUAAACACAACUCAGAGUCUGAAAAGUUUCUCUUCCACCGUAAUUUGGUGCCGUGACUCAGAUGACAACGCUCGAUGACGGUCCGGAGCGGUCCAUCUCUCAGUGACCCUCAAGUGCAACCACAGAGCCUCAGCAGGUCCAAAAUCCAGGGCCAUGGGAGAGCAUGGAUCCUACCCAACCUCAAAAGUUGCUCUCGACUAACCAGCAGUGGAAGCCCAUAGAGAAGCUGCAGAAGGUGAGGAAACCGACCGCCUGACCGAGGGGACCGAGCCGCCGAUCCUGCAUCCCCAGGAAUCCAGAGGAAUCGCCUCUGCACAACCUCGUCUUCUGAACCGGUGCACAGAGAUACUUCUGCUGCAUUCUCAGAGCAUACCCGCAUCCGGGGGCCUCCUCGGACCGGGGGUCUCCCACCCCACCGGAGGGACCGCCUAGUGGGAUGACGACCGGACAGGUGGCAUCCAGGCCUAAACCCAGCACUCCCCGUUUGGCAGCCCGGUCUUCUCCAGAAAGUCGCCCGGCGACUUGGUGGCCAUCCAGAACAACCGCCGCC